rnacentral:rRNA from 1 species
UGGGGAAUUUUUCGCAAUGGGGGAAACCCUGACGAAGCAACGCCGCGUGGAGGAUGAAGGCCUUCGGGUCGUAAACUCCUGUCGACCGGGACGAAAGUAGUCCGACCCAAUACGUCGGGCUAUCGACUGUACCGGUGGAGGAAGCCACGGCUAACUCUGUGCCAGCAGCCGCGGUAAUACAGAGGUGGCAAGCGUUGUUCGGAAUUACUGGGCGUAAAGGGCGCGUAGGCGGUCGAUUAAGUCCCGUGUGAAAUCCCUCGGCUCAACUGAGGAACUGCACGGGAAACUGGUUGACUUGAGUUCGGGAGAGGGAAGCGGAAUUCCGGGUGUAGCGGUGAAAUGCGUAGAUAUCCGGAGGAACACCGGUGGCGAAGGCGGCUUCCUGGACCGAUACUGACGCUGAGGCGCGAAAGCUAGGGGAGCAAACGGGAUUGGAUACCCAGGUAGUCCCUGAGCGGGCUGGCAAGGCGCAU